rnacentral:rRNA from 1 species
UACUAGAGUAGCACUCGCAUAUCAAUAAGCGGAGGAAAAGAAACUAACUAAGGAUUCCCCUCAGUAACGGCGAGUGAAGCGGGAAGAGCUCAAAUUUGAAAUCUUCAAGGGUUUACCUUGACGAAUUGUAGUUUAAAGAAGUGUUUUCUGUUGGAGUUUUGGUAAAAGUUCUUUGGAAUAGGACAUCAUAGAGGGUGAGAAUCCCGUAUUUGACCAUUAUUUCCAGCUGUGUGAUACACUUUCAAAGAGUCGGAUUGUUUGGGAAUGCAGUCCAAAAUGGGUGGUAAAUUUCAUCUAAAGCUAAAUACUGGCGAGAGACCGAUAGCGAACAAGUACCGUGAGGGAAAGAUGAAAAGAACUUUGAAAAGAGAGUUAAACAGUACGUGAAAUUGUCAAAAGGGAAGCGUUUGACACCAGUGUUGUUUUCUCGAAAAUCAAUUAAAAAAGGCCGGAUUUUGUGUUGUAUUGACCUUAAAAGCUUUCUUCACUCUUUUCUUGUCUUUUUUAAUGCACUUUUCGUUUAACAAGUCAACAUCAGUUUCUUUUGUUGUAAAAGGGUCAUUGGAAGGUGGCUUUCUUUUCGGAGAAAGUGUUUAUAGCCUUUGAUCUCUGCAACCGGAGAGACUGAGGUCUGCAGCGUAGACUCUUCGGGGUUAGAUACAUUUGUGCUAAGCUAUAGCUUUUUAUAGACAACUUGUUGACUAUAUUUAGUCUUGUGGCUUACUCGCUUAUGCUAUUUUACCUACGCUUAGGAUGUUGAUAGUCACAGCGUGUAC